rnacentral:pre_miRNA from 1 species
AGGUAAUGAUGAUGAUGAUGAUGAUGAUGAUGAUGAUGAUUAUGGAAAAUAUUUUAUUCUAAGUCAUCGUUGACAUCAUCAUCAUCAUCAUCACCA